rnacentral:lncRNA from 1 species
CUAUUUGAAAGGUAGUUUACCUGGUUAAUAGAAAUGCAUAAGUAUCACUAAAAAAAUAACAACUUUUCAGUUUCUGGUGGCGAAUGUAAAUGAUGCUAAUGAAUUUAAAGCUAUAUUGUGAAUUUGAGAAGGGGAGUCUGAAGCUUUCAAGAAAGAGUUUCACAAAAACUUUUAGUUAUAUUAGAGGAACUCAUGGCUGUAGGAAGUUCAAAAUAUUCCAUUUUCUUAGUUAAAUGAACGAAACAGAAAAUGUUAUCCAUUUCUUUUGUCUUAUGUGGAUCUUUAGUAAAUGGCAGCAUUGCUUUCGGCAAAAGAGAAUGGAAUUGUUGCUGUUUCUUUUGUAACAUGCUUUAUUCUAAUAAAACUAAAACCUUAGACCUUUUUUUGGAAGACCUUUGAUUCCAUAUAUUUCAAUAAAAUAUUCAACAAUACUACAAAUAAAUGAUUUCCUUUUUGGAAGCUCUUUGCUUACCCCUCCACUUCAUUUAGGUCUCUAUUUAAAAGUCUCUUUAUUUGAAAGGCUUUCCCUCAACACCUCAAGUUAACUAGCAUUCCUUCCCCAUCAUUCUAUCUCAUCCCUGUCCAACAGGAACUUUCUGUAAUGACAGAAAUGUUCUAUAUCUGCAUUCUCAAGUAUGCUAGCCACUAGCUUUAUGUGACCAUUGAGCUCUUGAAUUUUGGCUAAAGAGACUAAGGAACCGAAUUUUUAGCUUUAAAAAUAUUUACUAGGCACAUGAGCCUAGUGGCUGUCUUAAUAUUAUCACUUGAAAAUUAAGUAGGAAUUUUCUCUUUUACUCACUGCCAUAUCCCCAGCACCUAUAACACUGCCUGGCACAUAGGAGGUGUUUAAUAAAGGAUAAUGAGGAAAUUAAGACUUGUAGUUAUGAGAAGGUUCUUGAGGUAGUUAAGCAGGAUCAGAACUGGAACCUUGGUGCCCAGGCCAACUCCCUGUCCUUUAUGCCCCUCCCCUAACAGCUACACCACACUGGCACUUUUAGCUUUAUAAUGAUAGCUGACAGAUAAUGCCAGAGCCACAUGUCAACUUAAUAGUGAUAGAGAGCCUGGGUUUUUUCCCUUUCACCUCUUUGUUGCCUCAUUGGAAUUUCACAUAUGGCCAGUCUUACUCUUUGAUGUAUAAAAAGGAGGGAUAAGGAACUUUCCAAUAGUUGAUAAAAAGUUUGACUGUAUAGUAGAAAACAGUCUAUACUGAAAGCCCUGAGGCUUCAUUUUUACUCUCCUGAGGUCUAGGUUAACAUGUUUUUUGCUUCAACUGGUUGAACUUUUGUCAAAAUAUUAAUCCUCUCUGACUUUGAGCCAUAAUAUAUUUUGUGUUUAUAGAUAGUACAGUAAAUCUAUUACUGUGUAUAUAUGAUAUACUUAAGAGGCUUUUAGACUAGACAAUUAUUUUUAAAAAUCCCAUAGUAAAUCAUUUUGUAAAAUAAGUAAAUUUGGGGCAAGACGUAUUCUUAAAAAAUAUACCUAUUAGCUACUUUUAAAGACAUAGAAUCUCAUUGUAUAUGGCUUCCUUGUUCAUAUUCUCUUUUACUGGUUAAUUGUGUAAGCUAUUGCCUUUAUAACAAAGGACAGUUGGAGAAAAAUUGGGCUUGGUUUGUGGCUCAGUGGUAGAGCACUUGCCUUGCAUGUGUGAGGCACUGCAUUCGUUCUCAGCACCACAUAUAAUAAAUGAAUAAAAUAAAGGUCUUAUCAAAAACUAAAAAAAAAAAAAAAGUUCACUUGACUUCAUGUGAACCAUAAAGGUUGUACAGUUGUUAAAAGUAGCAUACAUUCAGAAAGACUGGAAGAUAUUAUAGUUUUCUUUGUGUUUUGGGGGCAGAGAUAAGAGCAGUAGCUAUGUUCUUCAUUUGUAUAUAAAAGAACAUACAAAAGCUUUGGACUUAAUAAAACUUAAUAUUUAACUGAUCAUGUGGUCUUGGAUAGGUUCUUCACUUUCUAAACAUUAGUUUCCCCAUCUGUCAUCCAGAGAUAAAUGUACAUACCCAAACUACCUUAUAGAACUAUUGCAGUGAGUAAGUGAUAUAUGUAUGUGUAUGCUUUGUAAAUUAUAAAGUGGAAACCAGAACAGAAUAGCUCAUACCUGGGGAGUUAUGGAUAGCAGAUAUUCAUUUUAGGACUAUAGAAUGUAUGACAUGAUUAUGUAAUUUUGAAUCCUGGUUAGUGGAAGAACAAUCUGAAUCCAUGGGGGGCCUUACUAGGGAUUCACACUGUCAUGUUUUCAUUUUCAGUGUAAUGAAAAUGAAGUAUACUUUUGGAAGACGAACAGAUAUUUGGAUCCCACUUGGUCCUAGGUGUCUUUAUUCCCCCAACCUCCAUGGGGAAACUGAGGCAUGGGGAAGUCAGAAAAGACUUGUUCAAGUGAAGGGUAGAUAAUGGUAGAAUUAAAACUAGUGUCCAGAUCUUUUAUAAUAUUCUCCAAUUAAUAGGCACUUUACAUUUCAUUCUUUGCACCAGUUAAGAUUUUAUUGCCAACAUACUCAUUUUUUAGGAUUUCACAUUAUCUUAAUUGUCAAUUUUAAAACUUCAUUAUGAAUGCUAAUUAGAAAAACCUAUUGCUGAAGUGCAUUGGUGCAUGCAACUCAGUAACGGGGCUAUUGGUUGUAGAGUAAAAUCCAGCGUAGCAUCUGCAUUGCUCUGAGAUUAACUAAAUUGAUUUCUCUUCGACUAAUUAAACUGUGUUUUUCUGAGAAUAGUAUCAAAGAAAAAAUAUCUUGCAAACUUAGAUCUUUCCAGGAAUGAUCAUAAAAGUUGCUUAAUUAAAAAACCUUUGUAGAUUUUAAUAUUGUUCCUAAAUAAAGUAGAUCUCAAUUGUACCUUUUCAGUAGAUUAAUAGUAAGUAUAUUUUACCUCUUAUAUUUUCUUUGAAAAUAUAAGAAUUAUGACCACUUUCUUUCAGUCAAUGGUUUUACUCAGAUGUGAACCUCAAACAUUUUCCAAAUUCACAAUUCUGGGCCCUGGACUGCAGUUGUUGACUCAGAAACUCCUAGGUGAUUUCUUUAACACCCACUGACCUAAGUUUACAAAAAGUAAUAGGGAAUAUGCUAAAUAUAAACUAUCUUUUAUGAUUUAAUAGUAGCAAAGACAGAGACUUGAAAACUACUAAGACAAAAUAGGUUUGAUGAUAGUGAUUCCAGACAAUUUUAUCUUAUGACCACUUUUUUUUUUUUAAUAUGAAUUAAAAGAGAAAGUAGACAAACCCUAAACUUAAGUAGAAAUGUAAAACAAUGGGUGGCUAGCAUCUUUCUGCCUUAAGAAAUCAGAAGAAACCUGGAGAACCCAGUUUGGAGGUUACAAUCAAAUUAAAGAACCAGCACUUGAGUAGUGAUGAUCUUCAGUAUUUAUUAAUUGAUCUUAAUAGUUGGGGUGUUUCAAGUAUGCCAGUUUCAGGGCAGAGGAUGUGGAUCAUCUCCAGUGUGUGUGUGUCUGUCUGUCUGUCUCUCUCACACACACGCACACCUACAACAUCAGUUUUACAUACACACAAAUAAGCAACUGAUUAUGUAUGAAAAUAUGAUUCCAAGAUAAUAGAAAAAAGUUAUUUCUAUCAUUCAAACAUUUUUUAAAAAUAGGUAUUUAUUAAGACCCUAAAAAUUUUCAAAAUGAGAAAGAUGGCCCCUCCUCUCAGGACUUUACACUUGAAAUGUAACUGAGAUUCUAUGGAAAAGCCUCCAAUAUAUAAUCAGUAUCAGGGAGAAAACAGUGCUAUGGUUGGCUUCACUUUUGGUUAUCUUUCCUGCUCAAACUUUUCCUUAAAUGUAUUCUUUCUUUGGGAUUUUUAGAAAAGAGUUUAUAGUUUGUGUCUUAUUGAAGCUACUUAUCUAAACCAAAUGAAGGGACCCAUUAGAUGAGGCUUUAGACUUGGAGAGUUAUCUAGCCUGAUUUAAUUAAAGAGUUGCCCUUAUUUUGCCCUUGGGAUUAAGUAAGUAAUUUUCCACAGGAAGUGCCUUGUGUACUAAGCUAACCUUCUGCCUUCCACUUUGUGAGUCUUUGCCAAACAUUCUUGAAUCAGCAAAAAGAGGGGUUUGUAGAUCUCUCAUGUUGAAUAUCUAUAAAAAUAAAAUGCUAACCUUGUUUGGAAGAUAAUUUUGAGGAAAAAGUUAUUGUUUUGACUUCAACAAAAGCUUCUAAAGAUUAAGUGAUGUUAUGAAUUGAAUAGUUUCAGUGAUGUUUUUAGUUAGGCUCAACUAGAAUCUUGUAAUGUAGAUCUUUAUUUUAUUCUGUGACUGAUUUAGAAUAAUUGUGGCAAUUAAUUGAUAAUACUUGACUGAAGCAUUCAUUUUUAGUGGUCAUAAUUCCCUAAAACCAUAGAUCUGGUGUGGUGUUUGAAAUCUGACUUUCUUAAAUAAAUCUCUUCUGUAGGUGGCCUGCUCUGUGAAUGAAUAAUCCCUGAAGAAUGAAGAAGAUUAAACAGUUCUUGAAAGUUCUUUGAUGAACUUUGAUAAAUGGAUAAAGUAUUUAUAAUUUAUUAAAAAAAAAAAGGUCAAAGAUUUUCAGGUGUGUUUC